rnacentral:lncRNA from 1 species
AGUGGAUGGAGACUGAGUGACCGUCUCUCCUCAGGUAAGGAGGAGAAAAGAAAGAAGGAAAAAUUGGAAAGAUAAAUGGGGUUUUCCAGUGAAGGUAAGACAGCAACGGUUGGAUUAAUUAAUGAUUAAUAACAAGCAAAAAUUAGUGAAAAUGGAGCA